GACAGAGGGUGCAAACGUUGUUCGGAAUUACUGGGCGUAAAGCGAGUGUAGGCGGUUUCGUAAGUCGGAUGUGAAAGCCCAGGGCUCAACCCUGGAAGUGCACUCGAUACUGCGAGGCUAGAGUACUGGAGAGGUUGGUGGAAUUCUCGGUGUAGAGGUGAAAUUCGUAGAUAUCGAGAGGAACACCGGUGGCGAAGGCGGCCAACUGGACAGAUACUGACGCUGAGACUCGAAAGCGUGGGGAGCAAACAGG
rnacentral:rRNA from 1 species